UGCCAGCAGCCGCGGUAAUACCGGCAGCUCAAGUGGUCGUCGCUUUUAUUGGGCCUAAAACGUCCGUAGCCUGUUUGGUAAUUCUAUGGGUAAAUCAACGAGCUUAACUCGUUGAAUUCUGCAGAGACUGCCAGACUAGGGACCGGGAGAGGUAUGAGGUACUCUGGGGGUAGGGGUAAAAUCCUGUCAUCCUCAGAGGACCACCUGUUGCGAAGGCGUCAUACUGGAACGGAUCCGACGGUCAGGGACGAAGCCUAGGGGCACGAACCGGAUUAGAUA
rnacentral:rRNA from 1 species